rnacentral:lncRNA from 1 species
GUCAGAGAAGACCUCCAGGAACAUUGAGAGAGUGGGUUUCAGUCUUGGACAGGGGGGUUGCAGAAAAUAAUUCUCGUUUUAGAAAACCAAGUCAGUGGUGUGGACAUGCUUGAGAGACUUUCUGAGAGUUCCGAGAUGGACCAGUGGACUAGAACGAUGAGGGACAAAGGGUUGGAGUUCAAGGUACUCGUUACGUGUGACGAGGAAGUGAAGCCCAUUCCAUGCCUUGCUGAGAAAGGGCCCUGACAUGGAGUUACUCCUUUUCCUGUAACCCAGCCUGACAAAGUCCAGGCUGUCUGAAGAAGAACCAACUUAGACUUUUCAGAGGCUCUUUGCCUAUUUGCCAAGUUGAAGGAAAUUUUGGAUUUGAGUUCUUUCGAGCCAGCCCCUAUUCUGCUAGCUCCUCUUUUUGACCACCUUUCAGUAGUCAAUAUUAAAAUUCUUUUUGUUCUCCGAGAGUAGUUUGGAGGCCUCAUUUCAUCCUGCCUGGCCUGUGCCCUGUUCUUCCUGGUCUGGGUAGUAUCUGUUCCUAGUUCAGCAAGUGAUACCAAGGCAGUAUGUGGUACUAUCGUCCAGUCAUACCCAGCGGUUCAUUGCCAAUUCUAUGACUGAUUUGUUAGGUGACUUCCGUCAAGCUACCUAAUAACUUAGCUUUAUUUUCUUUAUGAUAAAAACAGCAACAUCAUUUAGGGCUGCUUUUAGUAUUAUGAUAUUUCUAAAUCC